ensembl:lncRNA
AUAUAGAAGACUACUAUCUUCAUUGUAAACUAUGAUUAAAAAGUGUCAUUCUCUAAUACAAAUACGUGGAAAAUUCAUCGUAUAGAUAUUAUUUAUUGCCUACAAAAGUUAGUCUCUCAUUUUUCUCUCAUUUAAGAUAUUGUAUCAAAUAGAGGCCUCUUGAAUUGAGUAAAAAUGGAGUCUGGCCCUGGUUUUGGGUGAGUGUCUGUACUAGCCUUUGGCCUAUAAAAUGUAAGUGGAUAUUCACAGGGGUCCCCAGCCCCUGGGAUCUAAUGCCUGAUGAUCUGAGGUGGAGCUGAUGUAAUAAUAAUAGAAAUAAAGGGCACAAGAAAUGUAAAGUGCUCGAAUCAUCCUGAAACAUCUACUCUAUCCCCAACUGUAGAAAAAUUGUCUUCCAAGAAACCAGUUCCUGGUGCGAAAAAGUUUGGGUACUGCUGCACCAGAGGCUUCUGGGAAGUUUAUCUUCCUUGAUGAAUCUUUCUUAAGAGCCAAGUAUUAGCAUGGCUUGUUAUGGACUAAUAGAUUAACAGAAUAGGGACCAAAAAUAAAUAAAAUAAUGCUAUAUCCCUGGCAAAAUAUUUCUACAAUAUUGAGAAAACUUGAAAAGGGAAAAUAUUUAAAUUAUUAAAAGUGGAAAGGUUAAUUUUUGUCUAUCAUCUGGUUCUCCUUAUACAUGAAUUUAUUCAAAAGAAACACCAUAUGUCUAUAAUACAUGGAUGAAAGACUGCUCAACAUUAUAUAUUGAGAUGUGCAUAGCCCCACUGUCUCUAUGUCCAGUGGAUUUAGACAACUUUGCUCUUGACUUUAGAAUAUCCCAUCUUUCUGUAGUUCCAAUCGGUGAUGCAACCAGAAACUUGAACAUUGAUAUACAGAUUUCCUUUUCUUCCUCCAGAAAGUUCUUGCCCUUGAGCAGGAUUCAGUAGAAAACUGCAAUAUUUGAAGCAGUCACCUAGCAGCUGUUUAAUGUGGAUGACUAUGCCCUGCAGGCUUAUACGGAAGGAGAUGGAGCAGGUUGUCAAUUAUUUCUGCACUCAGGGCUAUGGACUAACAAUAUGCUAGAGUGAGGCAGAGGUUACAUAUCAGCUGCAACCCCACAGGCAAUCUGAAUCUGCCAUUAAUGGUGAAGAACUGAGGGUUUCAACAAGGUUGGGUUUCCUUGGUAGUGAGUUCCCAGUGAUGCAAACUUGGACCAGGAUAUAACAGGUAUUGUUAAGUCAGAGCAUCAGCUAGAAAAUGAACAGGUAGAGGAUGGCAGUAAUAUGUCAUCAAAUUACAGUUCACACUCCAAGGUCUAUGUGUUGUCAGGCCUUUAUGACUCUGACACUUGCAUCUUACUGAUAGCAUAUGCAGUCUGAGAGUUCUUACACCUGUUGCUUUCUCUGGAACACAAGUGUGGCAUGAAUUUAGCUUAUUGAAAUUCCAUAAUAUAACCAUUUUUGUGAGGUUUAAGCCAUGGAAAUACAGAAUGGAGUGAUUAGGGCAUCUAAUAAGUCCCAGGAUCAGACUUUGGUAUGAUUAGUCAAUGGUAAAUACAUUUUUUUAAGUUAUAGUGUAAGACACAGUAAGACACAAUAAAAAUAAGUUAUAGGUGAAGACAGAUCAGCCAUAGAUGUUCUGUGGGAACUGUUGGUAGCAGGUACACUGAUUUAACACGUUUUUGAAGUUAAGCUAGUUCCAGGACAAUAAAUGACAAAGCAGUCCACAAGGCACAAGCCAGUUUUCCUAAAAAUCAUUAAAUUAUCUAACCAAAUGAAAUCUCUUUAUGAGAAUGCUGUUCUCUUCUACAGCAGACUCUGGGGUGGUCUCAGUCCUGUUCUUCACGUGUUUCUUCUGAUCCUUCUUGUGUCAGAUCCAGAAAGAGUAUCGGUUUAACUUCUUUUUCUCUCCAUUCUCUCUUCCUCUUCUGAGCUUUUCCUUAGUAUCUUUUAAAAAUUUUAAUUAACUUUGGAAUUUGGGAAGUAGAUGAGAGGAAACAGUCCCUAGCAGAUUGUUUUUCUUCCAAAUUUCUCAUUUGGAGGGACAGAGAACAGAAAGGAAUUAGUGGAAAUGAAAAUGAUGGGGAACAAAAUCACUCAACUAUAUUAACAUUGUUUUCCUGUUUUAUCAAAUAUACUGGUGCUGGGCUACACCCCGCAGGCAUGCAAGCUUUGUGACUGCCCAACUUCGAGACCAAAGAAAGACAUGGGAGGCAGUGACAGAGACAUCAGUGGUUUACUGGAUGGGAGAUCUUAUAGGUCUGAAGCAAAAGGUUCUGUAACAACACCCCACUGUAUAAAGGAAAAGGCAGAUAGGAUAAAGCAACAGUCUUCCCUACUGUGGGUGGGGCAGUUGGAGAGAAGGAGACUACCACUUAAAAGGGGAAUUGAUUUCAGGCCAGCUUACCCAUUACCAGGGAAACC